rnacentral:rRNA from 1 species
UGCCAGCAGCCGCGGUAAUACGGGGGGAGCAAGCGUUGUCCGGAAUCAUUGGGCGUAAAGCGCACGCAGGCGGUUUGUUAAGCUAGAUGUGAAAGCCCCGGGCUCAACCUGGGAUGGUCAUUUAGAACUGGCAGACUAGAGUCUUGGAGAGGGGAGUGGAAUUCCAGGUGUAGCGGUGAAAUGCGUAGAUAUCUGGAGGAACAUCAGUGGCGAAGGCGGCUCCCUGGCCAAAGGCUGACGCUCAUGUGCGAAAGUGUGGGUAGCAAACAGGAUUAGAUA